GCCACUUUAGCUCAGUAGGUAGAGCAAAGGAUUGAAAAUCCUUGUGUCCUCGGUUCGAUUCCGAGAGGUGGCACGA
rnacentral:tRNA from 1 species